rnacentral:rRNA from 1 species
GAUGAACGCUGGCGGCGUGCCUAAUACAUGCAAGUCGAGCGAACAGACGAGGAGCUUGCUCCUCUGACGUUAGCGGCGGACGGGUGAGUAACACGUGGAUAACCUACCUAUAAGACUGGGAUAACUUCGGGAAACCGGAGCUAAUACCGGAUAAUAUAUUGAACCGCAUGGUUCAAUAGUGAAAGACGGUUUUGCUGUCACUUAUAGAUGGAUCCGCGCCGCAUUAGCUAGUUGGUAAGGUAACGGCUUACCAAGGCAACGAUGCGUAGCCGACCUGAGAGGGUGAUCGGCCACACUGGAACUGAGACACGGUCCAGACUCCUACGGGAGGCAGCAGUAGGGAAUCUUCCGCAAUGGGCGAAAGCUUGACGGAGCAACGCCGCGUGAGUGAUGAAGGUCUUCGGAUCGUAAAACUCUGUUAUUAGGAAAGAACAAGUGUGUAAGUAACUAUGCACGUCUUGACGGUACCUAAUCAGAAAGCCACGGCUAACUACGUG